GACGAACGCUGGCGGCGUGCUUAAUACAUGCAAGUCGAACGGAAAGGCCCUGCUUUUGUGGGGUGCUCGAGUGGCGAACGGGUGAGUAACACGUGAGUAACCUGCCCUUGACUUUGGGAUAACUUCAGGAAACUGGGGCUAAUACCGGAUAGGAGCUCCUGCUGCAUGGUGGGGGUUGGAAAGUUUCGGCGGUUGGGGAUGGACUCGCGGCUUAUCAGCUUGUUGGUGGGGUAGUGGCUUACCAAGGCUUUGACGGGUAGCCGGCCUGAGAGGGUGACCGGCCACAUUGGGACUGAGAUACGGCCCAGACUCCUACGGGAGGCAGCAGUGGGGAAUAUUGCACAAUGGGCGGAAGCCUGAUGCAGCAACGCCGUGUGCGGGAUGACGGCCUUCGGGUUGUAAACCGCUUUCGCCUGUGACGAAGCGUGAGUGACGGUAAUGGGUAAAGAAGCACCGGCUAACUACGUG
rnacentral:rRNA from 1 species